rnacentral:pre_miRNA from 1 species
CGACGAAAGGCGCGCGCUAUAAAGAGAGCUAUCCAUCGACAGUAUGGUUAUAAUAGACACUGUCAUGGAGUUGCUCUCUUUGUAGACACUGCUAUGUUCAACG